AAGCAAACUAAUGCAUGUCGCCCAAAAGUGCGCAGCGGUUUUGGGAUAACGACAUGCAUAAAAAACAAAAACCUAAAGCGCGCCGCGUGAAUACGUAUUCACGCGGCGCGCUUUAGCAUUGUUCACGGGUUCCUCCUCACCUUGGUCCCUCAAAGUGAGGA
rnacentral:ncRNA from 1 species